rnacentral:rRNA from 1 species
CUACGGGAGGCAGCGGUGGGGAAUAUUGCACAAUGGGCGCAAGCCUGAUGCAGCCAUGCCGCGUGUAUGAAGAAGGCCUUCGGGUUGUAAAGUACUUUCAGCGGGGAGGAAGGGAGUAAAGUUAAUACCUUUGCUCAUUGACGUUACCCGCAGAAGAAGCACCGGCUAACUCCGUGCCAGCAGCCGCGGUAAUACGGAGGGUGCAAUCGUUAAUCGGAAUUACUGGGCGUAAAGCGCACGCAGGCGGUUUGUUAAGUCAGAUGUGAAAUCCCCGGGCUCAACCUGGGAACUGCAUCUGAUACUGGCAAGCUUGAGUCUCGUAGAGGGGGGUAGAAUUCCAGGUGUAGCGGUGAAAUGCGUAGAGAUCUGGAGGAAUACCGGUGGCGAAGGCGGCCCCCUGGACGAAGACUGACGCUCAGGUGCGAAAGCGUGGGGAGCAAACAGGAUUAGAUACCCCUGUAGUC